CCUACGGGAGGCUGCAGUGAGGAAUAUUGGUCAAUGGGCUUACGCCUGAACCAGCCAAGUCGCGUGAGGGAAGACUGCCCUAUGGGUUGUAAACCUCUUUUGUCAGGGAGCAACGCCGGCUACGUGUAUCCUGACUGAUAGUACGUAAAUAAAAAGCAUCGGAGAACUCCGUGCCAGCAGCCGCGGUAAUACGGGGGAUGCGAGCGUUAUCCGUAUUUAUUGGGGGUAAAGGGUGCAUAGGCGGAAUGCCAAGUCAGCGGUAAAAUCGCGGGGCUAAACCUAGCUGCGCCGUUGAAACUGGCGUUCUUGAGUGGGCGAGAAGUAUGCGGAAUGCGUGGUGUAGCGGUGAAAUGCAUAGAGAUCACGCAGAACUCCGAUUGCGAAGGCAGCAUACCGGCGCCCAACUGACGCUGAAGCACGAAAGCGUGGGUAUCGAACAGGAUUAGAUACCCCAGUAGUC
rnacentral:rRNA from 1 species